rnacentral:rRNA from 1 species
GUUAACCUGGAAUCAAAUAGGGAUACCCGCUGAACUUAAGCAUAUCAAUAAGCGGAGGAAG